rfam:Actinobacteria bacterium OK006 ctg227, whole genome shotgun sequence.
UUGAGCCGUGUGCUCGGACGACGGGCACGCACGGUUCUGAGGGGGCGGGAGCACAGCAAUGUGUUCCCGCUACCCGAC